rnacentral:lncRNA from 1 species
UUGACACUGUAGUAAGGUCCCAACAACUCCAAUUUUGCAGCAAAUCUUCCCAGACAUCCCUUAGUUACAUUGCUUAGAUAAACCAAAGGUGUAUUACCAAUCAACUGAUCAAACAAAAGAAACAGAAAAGUAUUGAGUUUUCAAUAAAAAAACAAACCUCAUCAACAGGAGCAUCAAUUUUCAAUCUUCCAACCAACACAAAACAAUUUAAACCCCAACCAUGCCAACCAAAAUCCUAGAAAUCUCAAACAGAAAUGAUUUUCAAAACUAAAAGAAUGAAGAAAAAUUAAAUCGUAAAUCUGAAUCCUAAGAAACAUACGUAAAAUCUCUGAAUCUUAUUUGCCGUUACUAAGCUAGAGCAAAAGCCAGAGAUGGACUCUUAUUUGACGAAGAACGUUUGUUUCAAUUAUUAAAUAAUCCAAUGAAGCUUCAAAAGGAAACAUCAAGAGCUACUGUAAAUGGAUCAAUCAAAAGAGAGGUUAAAUUUCUACUUUGUUUGGGAAAUCUAGCAAAGUCUGUUCGAAAUAAUUAAAGAGAUGCUGACGGAGUGCUAGGAUCACUCACUAUGAUGAAUUUUGAGAACAUCCUAUGAUACAAAAUGGGUUAUUCCUGACGGAGUGGUAGGAUCACUCACCAUGAUGAUACGUGUAAUCUAUUUAUUACCUAUUAAAAUAUCGUACCAAUUAC